GACGGGGGAUGCAAGCGUUAUCCGGAAUCACUGGGCGUAAAGCGUCUGUAGGUGGUGAUGCAAGUCACUGGUGCAAAACUCUGGCUCAACCGGAGGAAAGCCAGUGAAACUGCAUGACUAGAGUGUGGGAGAGGUAGAAGGAAUUCCCUGAGUAGCGAUGAAAUGCGUAGAUACAGGGAAGAACACCGGAGGCGAAAGCGUUCUACUGGAACACAACUGACACUGAGAGACGAAAGCUAGUGGAGCUAAUGGG
rnacentral:rRNA from 1 species